rnacentral:rRNA from 1 species
GACACGUGAAAUCCUGUCUGAAUAUGGGGGGACCAUCCUCCAAGGCUAAAUACUCCUGAAAGACCGAUAGUGAACAAGUACUGUGAAGGAAAGGUGAAAAGCACUUCGAAUAGAAGGGUGAAAGAGAACCUGAAACCGUACGCCUACAAGCGGUCGGAGCAGUUAUAUACUGUGACGGCGUGCCUUUUGCAUAAUGAGCCUACGAGUUAAUUUUACUAGCGAGGUUAAGGUAUUAAGUACUGGAGCCGGAGCGAAAGCGAGUCUGAAUAGGGCGAAUAGUUAGUGGGAUUAGACGCGAAACCUUGUGAUCUACCCAUGGGCAGGUUGAAGCACUGGUAACACAGUGUGGAGGACCGAACCGGUUGACGUUGAAAAGUCUUCGGAUGACCUGUGGGUAGGGGUGAAAGGCCAAUCAAACUGGGAGAUAGCUCGUACUCCCCGAAAUGCAUUUAGGUGCAGCGUUGUAAUAAAGUUUAAUAGAGGUAGAGCUACUGAUUGGAUGCGGGGGUUUCACCGCCUACCAAUUCCUGACAAACUCCGAAUGCUAUUAAAUGUUUCACAGCAGUGAGGGCUUGGGUGCUAAGGUCCAAGUCCGAGAGGGAAAGAACCCGGACCAUCAGCUAAGGUCCCCAAAUAUAUGCUAAGUUGAAAAAACGCGGUUGAACUGCAUUGACAGCUAGGAUGUUGGCUUGGAAGCAGCCAUUCAUUUAAAGAGUGCGUAACAGCUCACUAGUCGAGCGGUUCGGCAUGGAUAAUAAUCGGGCAUAAGCAUAUUACCGAAGCUAUGGCAACGAAAGUUGGGUAGGGGAGCAUUCUAUCGGCGCAGAAGCAUCACUGUGAGGUGAUGUGGAGCUUAUAGAAAAGAAAAUGUAGGCAUAAGUAACGAUAAAGCAGGCGAGAAACCUGCUCACCGAAAGACUAAGGGUUCCUCAGCCAUGCUAAUCAGCUGAGGGUUAGUCGGGACCUAACGCGAACCCGAGAGGGGAAGUGGAUGGACAAUGGGUUAAUAUUCCCAUACUUGCUCACGAAUAAAGGGGACGGUUCAGCUAGACUACUGGAGACUGACGGAAUAGUCAAGACCUAGCCUACGGGCGAAGUUGUUGUAGAGUAACUGGAUCCAAGAAAAGCCGAAGUGAAGCAACCCGUACCAUAAACCGACACAGGUAGUCGAGGAGAGAAUCCUAAGGUGCUCGAGUGAGUCGUGGCUAAGGAACUAGGCAAAAUAGUCUCGUAACUUCGGAAUAAGAGACGCCAACAGCGAUGUUGGCCGCAGUGAAGAGGCCCAGGCGACUGUUUAUCAAAAACACAGGACUCUGCUAAAUCGAAAGAUGCUGUAUAGGGUCUGACACCUGCCCGGUGCUGGAAGGUUAAGGAAGGUGCUUAGCGUAAGCGAAGGCAUUGACUGAAGCCCCAGUAAACGGCGGCCGUAACUAUAACGGUCCUAAGGUAGCGAAAUUCCUUGUCGGGUAAGUUCCGACCUGCACGAAUGGUGUAACGAUCUGGGCACUGUCUCAGCCACGAGCUCGGUGAAAUUGUAGUAUCGGUGAAGAUGCCGAUUACCCGCAAUGGGACGAAAAGACCCUGUGAACCUUUACUAUAACUUCGUAUUGACUUUGAGUAAGUAAUGUGUAGGAUAGGUGGGAGGCUAUGAAGCUGGCACGCUAGUGUUGGUGGAGCCGUUGUUGAAAUACCACCCUUUGCUUACUUGGAGCCUAACUUCUGAACAAGAGUAAGAAGGACAUUGCGUGGUGGGUAGUUUGACUGGGGUGGUCGCCUCCAAAAGAGUAACGGAGGCUUUCAAAGGUACCCUCAGCACGCUUGGUAACCGUGCGUAGAGUGUAAUGGCAUAAGGGUGCUUGACUGUGAGACCAACAAGUCGAUCAGGUGCGAAAGCAGGACAUAGUGAUCCGGUGGUUCCGUAUGGAAGGGCCAUCGCUCAAAGGAUAAAAGGUA